rnacentral:lncRNA from 1 species
AUCUGGAAGGGGAGCGGUAGAACGUCAGGGCCCGGCUGAGGGGCGUGAUUGGAGGGCGCCUUCGGCAGCCGCCCGCGGCAGAAGCCGCGGCUCCAGCUCGCCUGGCGGAAUUGCACGCGGCGGCGGGAGCUGGAAUAGCAGAAGGAACCACCUCGUGGAGUCGGGCCGGAGCCCUGCAGUGGCUCAGACGGUUGCAGGGACCGCCAGUUGUCACAUCUUCCCAAGCCAGGCCAGCCAGGAGCGCUGCAUGCAAAUUCUGCCGUGGGCUAAGGCACGCUAACCAGAGCCGGCGGCAUGGACUUCGUCAUGAAGCAGGCCCUUGGAGGGCCACAAAGGACAUGGGGAAGAUGCUGGGGGGAGAGGAGGAGAAGGACCCCGACGCGCAGAAAAAGGAGGAGGAGCGGCAGGAGGCGCUGCGGCAGCAGGAGGAGGAGCGUAAGGCCAAGCACGCGCGCAUGGAGGCGGAGCGGGAGAAGGUCCGGCAGCAGAUCCGAGAUAAGAUGGGCUGAAGAAGAAGGAGGAGAAGGAAGCAGAGGAGAAAGCAGCCCUGGAGCAGCCCUGCGAGGGGAGCCUGACCCGGCCCAAGAAGGCCAUCCCUGCGGGCUGCGGGGACGAGGAGGAGGAGGAAGAGGAGAG